GUCAUCACAAGGAUCAGAUUUCAAGUACCAGAGUAGUCCUAACUCCUAAAUUUUCCCAACUUGUCAAAAUACUUCUAGUGACACAAGAGAAGAAUGUGGAGUAAAUGCCAAUAAUGGCUUGACUGCAGGGGUAUACCUCACUUCUCGGCAAUUUCUGGUUAUCACCAUCCGAAUGACCAAUUCAGAGGAAAAGACCAACUUCAAGGUGCCUCUUAUGCAUUGAGAUCUUUCGCUGAUGGACUCAAAUUGUUCAGGAAAAAAUCCAGCUACCACAGCCACAGAUUUCUGCCGUGUGUUCAGAAGGAA